CAGAAAAAAAUAAAAACUUUACCUCGCUCUCUCGGACUCUCCGAUCUUUCUCUCUCAACACCAACUAGUCACCUCCGACUCUCCUUCUCGUUCUCUCCUCUGACCAGAAUCCUCAUGGCUUCCACCUGACUACUCACGAAUCGUUGUCGCAUACGAUCACCCGAGUUAAAUCUCCUCGAUCCCCAUUGACAAGUGAUGGUACGUUUGUACUUAUUACUCCAGCUCGACCAUGAAGAGGAGGUUCCAACUCAAAAACAUCAGUCACCACUUAUGCGAGUUCAUGCUUAUUUCUCGAUAGCCAAGCCAUAUAAAGGCUAGUUGGAGCCUGGGUUUUAAAUAGCGUAUGGACGAGGUGCUCGACUCUCGCCAAGCGCCAUGGCGAGAAAAGUCAAUCGUCAUGUGUUAAACACAUGCAAAAAAUAUCAAUUUUAUGUUUCCAAUUCUAAGUUAUGUUAAGCUGUUGUUAAAGACAGUAAAGAGAAAACCAAAACAUCAAUUUCACUGAUAGCAUAAAAGCUUAAAGCCAAAACACCAAUUCGAGUACGUGUAAUC